GCAUCCAGCUGUAGAAACUCUGCCAGAUCGGAUUGGAGCCUGGUGCAGCCAUCAGGUUUGCCACUCCUCAGUCAAAUCGUCCAACCCAUGCUAGCAUGGAAAGCGGACGUUAAACGAUGUAGAGGAUGAUGAUGAUGAUAGCAGGCAUGGUUGUAUGGUGAGAACAGAUGCAGGUGUGGCUGUGUUGUAAGAAGCUUGGUUCCCAACCAUAAGGUUCCAGGUUCAGUCCCACUACUUGGCACCUUGGGCAAGUGUCCUCUGCUAUAACCCCUGACCCAAAUCUCAUGAGUGGAUUUGGUAGAUGGAGGCUGAAAGAAGCCCAUCAUAUAUAUAUAUCUGUAUAUAUGUGUGUGUGUGUGUGUGUGUGUGUGUGUGUGUUUAUAUCUAUGUAUGUGUGUCAUUGUGUUUGUCCUCUACCACUGCUUGAUGACUGGUGUUGGUGUGUUUAUGUUCCCAUAACUUAUUCAAUCAGUUGAUUUUGCUGAAGCACUAAGUACUAGACUUUAAACAUAAGUCUUGGGGGGGGGGUCAAUUUGCUAAACUAAAACCCUUCAAGGCAGUGCUCCACCCUGGCCACAGUCAAAUGACUGAAACAAGACACACACACACACACACACACACACACACACUCGCACACAUAUAUAUAUAUAUAUACACAUACAUGUAUACAAAGACACAUAUAUGUGUGUGUGUGUGUGUGUGUGUGUAUAUAUAUAUAUGUGUGUAUGUAUGUAUGUAUGGAUGGAUGGAUGCAUAUAUAAAUGCGUAAUUAGAUGAAUUCUUGCAUUCAUAUAUUUAUUCAAAUAUACAAGAAUAAAGGAACGGGUACAUGUGUGUAUGUGUGUGCAUUUAUGAAUUAUAAAUAUGUGAAUUUCUGUAUUCAUAUAUACAAGUGCAUUUCAUAAAAUUAGAAUAGCAAGGAAAAUUGAAUAUUUUAUUAUUUUUAUACACAGUAGAAAUGACAGCUGUACUUCAUACAGUCUGUAAAGAAUCUCAUUUUUAGACUGAUUACUGUAGAAUAACAAGUAUAAGAGCACAGACAAAGAUGUGAAUUCUACUUAACUCAAAAUGUAUCCAUACCAUUGUCUGUACACAUUUGAGUAAUACCCUUUCAGCCAAUGUUCUUACAUAACUUUUACAUUGUAUGUAUUUUAUUCCAGGAAACACUGGUGUUGCAAUCAUGGGCAAGACUUCCUGGAUAACUACUGCCCCCCACCAGAAACACCCAACUCAUGCACUCAGCUAAGAGAGAACAAUGGAAAAUAAAGUUAAUCCCAGCAACAUUUGAACUCAGAACAAUAUACUUGGUCAACAAGUUUGAAAGGAAAUGGCUUGUCAAUGUCAGUGAUCCCAACACUUCACAGAUACUUUAUAUUACCAACCUCAAAAAGCAAAGUUGAUUUUGGCAGGAUUUGAAUUCAGAAUGUAAAGAGCUACCGCAAAUGUCAAAGUAAUUUUACUGAUGUUUAGAUGAUUCUACAGAUACACUACCUUAAUAAAAACUAUAUACAUAAUGAAAAUUUUUUGAGAUUUGAACCUAGGAUGUAACGUGCUAAAACAAACAUCAGUUUUUUUUUUUUUCCAGGUGUGCUAAUGAUUCUACUA